AGGGGAGUGAAAAAGAACCUGAAACCGUGUACGUACAAGCAGUGGGAGCACGCUUAGGCGUGUGACUGCGUACCUUUUGUAUAAUGGGUCAGCGACUUAUAUUCUGUAGCAAGGUUAACCGAAUAGGGGAGCCGAAGGGAAACCGAGUCUUAACUGGGCGUUAAGUUGCAGGGUAUAGACCCGAAACCCGGUGAUCUAGCCAUGGGCAGGUUGAAGGUUGGGUAACACUAACUGGAGGACCGAACCGACUAAUGUUGAAAAAUUAGCGGAUGACUUGUGGCUGGGGGUGAAAGGCCAAUCAAACCGGGAGAUAGCUGGUUCUCCCCGAAAGCUAUUUAGGUAGCGCCUCGUGAAUUCAUCUCCGGGGGUAGAGCACUGUUUCGGCAAGGGGGUCAUCCCGACUUACCAACCCGAUGCAAACUGCGAAUACCGGAGAAUGUUAUCACGGGAGACACACGGCGGGUGCUAACGUCCGUCGUGAAGAGGGAAACAACCCAGACCGCCAGCUAAGGUCCCAAAGUCAUGGUUAAGUGGGAAACGAUGUGGGAAGGCCCAGACAGCCAGGAUGUUGGCUUAGAAGCAGCCAUCAUUUAAAGAAAGCGUAAUAGCUCACUGGUCGAGUCGGCCUGCGCGGAAGAUGUAACGGGGCUAAACCAUGCACCGAAGCUGCGGCAGCGACGCUUAUGCGUUGUUGGGUA
rnacentral:rRNA from 1 species